rnacentral:lncRNA from 1 species
GGACCAUACUAGCUUUCAUAUUGGCAGGAUACUUGACAAUUAUAUCAUUUUCUUUACGUCUGCCGUCUUUAGCGGUCGGAUUAAUAAUCUGUUUGUAUAGCUGGCCAAUUUUAAAAACAUGCAAUAUAUGGACAUUUCUGACGUUUGUUGUUGCUAUUGUUGAUCCAUCUACAGUAUUGUAUACUAACAAGACAAUUUUUACUAUCACCAUAGCAAUGAUUGCUGCUAUUCCACAGUUCAUCCGAUGCCAGCCAUGUAAGAGCAAGCUGAGAGAAGUACGCG